AACGAACGCUGGCGGCAUGCCUAACACAUGCAAGUCGAACGAGACCUUCGGGUCUAGUGGCGCACGGGUGCGUAACGCGUGGGAAUCUGCCCUUGGGUUCGGAAUAACAGUUAGAAAUGACUGCUAAUACCGGAUGAUGUCGAAAGACCAAAGAUUUAUCGGCAAAGGAUGAACCCGCGUAGGAUUAGCUAGUUGGUGGGGUAAAGGCCUACCAAGGCGACGAUCCUUAGCUGGUCUGAGAGGAUGAUCAGCCACACUGGGACUGAGACACGGCCCAGACUCCUACGGGAGGCAGCAGUGGGGAAUAUUGGACAAUGGGCGAAAGCCUGAUCCAGCAAUGCCGCGUGAGUGAUGAAGGCCUUAGGGUUGUAAAGCUCUUUUACCAGGGAUGAUAAUGACAGUACCUGGAGAAUAAGCUCCGGCUAACUCCGUGCCAGCCGCCGCCGUAAAAC
rnacentral:rRNA from 1 species